CCUCAGGGGUGAUAGAAAGGUGUAUAUGGUCGUCACAGAAUUCGUGCCCCUGAUGCCCAGCGAUCGUAUACAGGCAGCGUGGGCUGUCCGUGUCUUUUUCAGCUCUCAGCUGCCAUCUCGGCACGACAUGUCUCUAAGCUGGGGCAUCAGAGCAUGCCGGCGUCUGACCCUGAUUCAUCGUGAUCUGCCUUCCGACAUGCUGAAGCUGAUGCUGGCCUGUGCGAUAGUGGCCGGAGCAUCUCUGGCCGGUGCGAAGGUCGGCCGCUCGUCUUAUGAGGACUACGGACGACACCCGUAUUCGUCCGCCUACGACCGCACAGGUUGCGACUUUCCGGCUGCAAGCUGCAUCCUUUAAGAUCACAAGGUGAGAGGCCACCAGCAAUGAUUAGCCCUUGACUGGGAGGGCCUGCGACAUUGUGCAGCGGCGUCACUAACGUUCAGGUGACGUCAGAAGGCAGGACGGACUUCGUUGAACAUUGAGAUACACCUUCUCUUUUGCUCGUAGUUUUCACCGUCGAGCUGGGAUUUUCAGAUCGCGACAGGCGGUAAGUGCUUAUGCAGGAAAUAGUUCUUAGGCGUACUACUGAUACUAUAACUUUCAGAAAUAAUCCAAAAGUCUCCAUCACAAAUUCAAGUACAUAGUGCAGGAGUUUCUUGAAAAAAAUCCGUUGAUCCUGUUCAGGAGGCCUAGAUGGCUUGUUUUACGGCGUCAUGGUCCCGGAGCGUUGCUGCACAGCUUUCGAGCCCGCUGGUCAGCUCGCGAUGGCUGCGCUGUAGUCAUAGCUUACCCUACCGCUAUGGCUCUGUUACUGUAGUCCCCAGUGUGGUUCACUGCCCCUGGUCCAAGUCACCCUCCCCUUUUGGUCGCGCCGGCCGCAUAUCCGGGCGCUAGUUGUCUGUACUCUACCUAGCUAACCGGGUCCAGAACGGAAUGCUCCUCAGAAUGGUCUAUGAUCUUAUUGCACGGCGUGCCAUGCAGCACGGGCGGGUUGCAUCCGUUCAGAUAACACCGCGCCAUGGAGCCAUCAAGAGCACACAAGCAUCAGCGCUGACAACACUCUAUCGGUUCCAGAGAUCGCCAGCAUCGUCAGCGCUGUCGGCGUCGUCCCGCUGUUCUUAAUGGCCAUUGCCGCCAUGGUGGCGAGCUUAUUCGCAAUCCCAGUUGGUGACAUCAACGUUGACGACUGCAAGCGCGCGCUGCUGCAACUGCCGCUGUUCGACAAGGUCGUCUCCGGCAUUGAGAGGAUGCAAAAGCUGUAUGAAACGGCGUCGCCACAGCUCCAUCGGGCGUAAGGUCGGUGGAGGCCAGCCAGAGAGCCACCGCGCGGCCGGUGAGGCCAGAGAGCCGCCGCGGUCUCCUUUUCGGAGCCCCGUCGCUCAUAGGCGGCAGGCAGAGUGGCCUCGGUUAACAGGUGGUGCGCUGGGAGAAAGAGGUGCCUUGGCUUCACAGGGGACGGAGCGCCUCGGUGUUCUGGUGCGUUCGGACAAAUCGUGAUCGAGAUCUCUUGAUCUCGACGGAACUUUUAGAGGCUUUGUAAAGAGUCACAUGGUGGGUUUUAGACAGGGACGCCAUCGCGGCCAGCAAGACCGUGGGCAUUGUCACGGAUGGAUGUGAGGUUUUGUCGGAGUGGAGGCAUUUUUUUAGUGUGCCAGGUCUGUGUACGCGACGUGCGCGCAACCGAAGGAUCUGUUCGCUGUGAGCAUACUCUAUGUUAUUUACAUGGAAAUACAUGAGCGGUAUCGC